AUUGAACGCUGGCGGCAGGCCUAACACAUGCAAGUCGAGCGGAUGAGGGGAGCUUGCUCCUGGAUUCAGCGGCGGACGGGUGAGUAAUGCCUAGGAAUCUGCCUGGUAGUGGGGGAUAACGUCCGGAAACGGGCGCUAAUACCGCAUACGUCCUGAGGGAGAAAGUGGGGGAUCUUCGGACCUCACGCUAUCAGAUGAGCCUAGGUCGGAUUAGCUAGUUGGUGGGGUAAAGGCCUACCAAGGCGACGAUCCGUAACUGGUCUGAGAGGAUGAUCAGUCACACUGGAACUUAGACACGGUCCAGACUCCUACGGGGAGCAGCAGUGGGGAAUAUUGGACAAUGGGCGAAAGCCUGAUCCAGCCAUGCCGCGUGUGUGAAGAAGGUCUUCGGAUUGUAAAGCCCUUUAAGUUGGGAGGAAGGGCAGUAAGUUAAUACCUUGCUGUUUUGACGUUACCAACAGAAUAAGCACCGGCUAACUUCGUG
rnacentral:rRNA from 1 species